rnacentral:rRNA from 1 species
UGGGGAAUAUUGCACAAUGGGCGAAAGCGUGAUGCAGCAACGCCGCGUGAGUGAUGAAGGCCUUCGGGUUGUAAAGCUCUGUCUUCUGGGACGAUAAUGACGGUACGAGAGGAGGAAGCCACGGCUAACUACGUGCCAGCAGCCGCGGUAAUACGUAGGUGGCAAGCGUUGUCCGGAUUUACUGGGCGUAAAGGAUGCGUAGGCGGAUACUUAAGUCAGAUGUGAAAAUCCCGGGCUUAACUUGGGAACUGCAUUUGAAACUGGGUAUCUAGAGUGCGGGAGAGGAAAGUGGAAUUCCUCGUGUAGCGGUGAAAUGCGUAGAGAUUAGGAAGAACACCAGUGGCGAAGGCGACUUUCUGGACCGUAACUGACGC